UACGGAGGGUGCGAGCGUUGUCCGGAAUCACUGGGCGUAAAGGGCGCGUAGGUGGCCUGUGGAAGUCUGCGGUGAAAGCCCGGCGCUCAACGCCGGGUCGGCCGUGGAUACUCUCGGGCUUGAGCUUACUAGAGGCAGAUGGAAUUCCGGGUGUAGCGGUGAAAUGCGUAGAGCUCGGGAAGAACAUCGGUGGCGAAAGCGCUCUGCUGGACUGCAACUGACACUCAGGGACGAAAGCUAGGGGAGCGAAUGGG
rnacentral:rRNA from 1 species